rnacentral:tRNA from 1 species
ACUGGAAAAGUUAAAGAGAUCUAACAAGGAGCUUAAAAUUCCUGGGAUGGAGGUUUGAUUCCUCUUUUUAGUA